UACGAAGGGGGCUAGCGUUGUUCGGAGUUACUGGGCGUAAAGGGCGCGUAGGCGGCGCACCAAGUCAGGCGUGAAAGCCCUGGGCUCAACCCGGGAAUUGCGCUUGAGACUGGUGUGCUUGAGUACGGGAGAGGAUAGUGGAAUUCCCAGUGUAGAGGUGAAAUUCGUAGAUAUUGGGAAGAACACCGGUGGCGAAGGCGGCUCACUGGCUCAUUUCUGACGCUCAGGCGCGACAGCGUGGGGAGCAAACAGG
rnacentral:rRNA from 1 species